GAACUAGCUUGCUAGUUGCUGACGAGUGGCGGACGGGUGAGUAAUGCUUAGGGAUCUGCCUUUAGGAGGGGGAUAACCAUUGGAAACGAUGGCUAAUACCGCAUAAUGUCUACGGACCAAAGGGGGCUUCGGCUCUCGCCUAGAGAGGAACCUAAGUGAGAUUAGCUAGUUGGUGAGGUAAAGGCUCACCAAGGCGACGAUCUCUAGCUGUUCUGAGAGGAAGAUCAGCCACACUGGAACUGAGACACGGUCCAGACUCCUACGGGAGGCAGCAGUGGGGAAUAUUGCACAAUGGGGGAAACCCUGAUGCAGCCAUGCCGCGUGUGUGAAGAAGGCCUUCGGGUUGUAAAGCACUUUCAGUCGUGAGGAAAGGUUAGUAGUUAAUACCUGCUAGCUGUGACGUUAGCGACAGAAGAAGCACCGGCUAACUCCGUGCCAGCAGCCGCGGUAAUACGGAGGGUGCAAGCGUUAAUCGGAAUUACUGGGCGUAAAGCGCACGCAGGCGGUUUGUUAAGCUAGAUGUGAAAGCCCCGGGCUCAACCUGGGAUGGUCAUUUAGAACUGGCAGACUAGAGUUUUGGAGAGGGGAGUGGAAUUCCAGGUGUAGCGGUGAAAUGCGUAGAUAUCUGGAGGAACAUCAGUGGCGAAGGCGACUCUCUGGCCAAAGACUGACGCUCAUGUGCGAAAGUGUGGGUAGCGAACAGGAUUAGAUACCCUGGUAGUCCACACUGUAAACGCUGUCUACUAGCUGUGUGUGAAUUUAAUUCGUGCGUAGCGAAGCUAACGCGAUAAGUAGACCGC
rnacentral:rRNA from 1 species